rnacentral:rRNA from 1 species
UACAGAGGUCUCAAGCGUUGUUCGGAUUCAUUGGGCGUAAAGGGAGCGUAGGUGGCGGGGUUAGUCAGGUGUGAAAUCUCGGGGCUCAACCCCGAAACUGCACUUGAUACUGCCUUGCUAGAGUACUGGAGAGGAGAUUGGAAUUUACGGUGUAGCAGUGAAAUGCGUAGAUAUCGAGAGGAACACCUGCGGCGAAGGCGGGUUGCUGGGCUGACACUGACGCUGAGGCGACGAAAGCCAGGGGAGCGAACGGG